AGAGUUUGAUCAUGGCUCAGAACGAACGCUGGCGGCGUGGAUAAGACAUGCAAGUCGGACGGGAACUUUCGUUGUAGCAAUACAGUGGAAGUUCUAGUGGCGAACGGGUGCGUAACACGUGGGCAAUUUGCCUUAAAGUGUGGGAUAGCUCGGCGAAAGCCGGAUUAAUACCGCAUGUGGCUACUGGAGACAUCUUCGGGACGCUAAAGGUGGCGCAAGCUACCGCUUUUUGAGAAGCCCGCGGCCUAUCAGCUUGUUGGUGAGGUAACGGCUCACCAAGGCGUUGACGGGUAGCUGGUCUGAGAGGACGACCAGCCACACUGGGACUGAGACACGGCCCAGACACCUACGGGUGGCAGCAGUCGAGAAUUUUUGACAAUGGGGGAAACCCUGAUCGAGCGACGCCGCGUGGAGGAUGAAGGUCUUCGGGUUGUAAACUCCUGUCAUUUGGGAACAAGGCGUAUUUAUUAACUGUAAGUACGUUGAUAGUACCAGAAGAGGAAGGGACGGCUAACUCUGUGCCAGCAGCCGCGGUAAUACAGAGGUCUCAAGCGUUGUUCGGAUUCAUUGGGCGUAAAGGGUGUGUAGGUGGCGCGCUAAGUCGGGUGUGAAAUUUCGGAGCUUAACUCCGAAACUGCAUUCGAUACUGGCGUGCUUGAGGACUGGAGAGGAGACUGGAAUUUACGGUGUAGCAGUGAAAUGCGUAGAUAUCGUAAGGAAGACCAGUGGCGAAGGCGGGUCUCUGGACAGUUCCUGACACUGAGACACGAAGGCCAGGGGAGCAAACGGGAUUAGAUACCCUAGUAGUCC
rnacentral:rRNA from 1 species